rnacentral:rRNA from 1 species
AACGAACGCUGGCGGCAGGCUUAACACAUGCAAGUCGAACGCCCCGCAAGGGGAGUGGCAGACGGGUGAGUAACGCGUGGGCAUCUACCCAGUUCUAAGGAACAACAGAGGGACACUUCUGCUAAUAACGUAUACGCCCUACGGGGAAAUGAUUGAUCGGAUAUGGAUGAGCCCGCGUAAGAUUAGCUAGUUGGUGAGGUAAUGGCUCAGCAAGGCGACGAUAUUUAGCUGGUCUGAGAGGCUGAUCAGCCACACUGGGACUGAGACACGGGCCAGACUCCUACGGGAGGCAGCAGUGGGGAAUAUUGGACAAUGGGCGCAAGCCUGAGCCAGCCAUGCCGCGUGAGUGAUGAAGGCUUUAGAGUUGAAAAGCUCUUUCAGUGGGGAAGAUAAUGACGGUACCCACAGAAGAAGCCCCGGCUAACUUCGUGCCAGCCGCCGCAGUAAAAC